UCCUCAACACCCUUUGUCCAACCGCCAUCAGUCUUAGAGAAACCCAUGCGAUGCAGUGUGUGGCGAUUGAAGGUGUCAGAAUGGGAUAGUCUAGCAAUUACCUCCCCCUCAAAACUAAUUUCGAACCUUCUAAAAACUAAAGUUAGUGCCAUACCAAAAGGCAAGUGAGCCUUGGACCUAUUCAGGAUUUCCCUCAUGGCCUCAAACAUCAAUACUGGAAGGUUCAAGGGGGUUUGGGUGAUCACAUGGUAUAUAACGCAAAUAUUUCUACCAGAUAGAAGGUCGUGUCUACCACUCCUAGGGACAAACAGUUUGG
rnacentral:lncRNA from 1 species